GAUGAACGCUGGCGGCGUGCCUAAUACAUGCAAGUCGAGCGAACGGACGAGAAGCUUGCUUCUCUGAUGUUAGCGGCGGACGGGUAAGUAACACGUGGAUAACCUACCUAUAAGACUGGGAUAACUUCGGGAAACCGGAGCUAAUACCGGAUAAUAUUUUGAACCGCGUGGUUCAAAAGUGAAAGACGGUCUUGCUGUCACUUAUAGAUGGAUCCGCGCUGCAUUAGCUAGUUGGUAAGGUAACGGCUUACCAAGGCAACGAUGCAUAGCCGACCUGAGAGGGUGAUCGGCCACACUGGAACUGAGACACGGUCCAGACUCCUACGGGAGGCAGCAGUAGGGAAUCUUCCGCAAUGGGCGAAAGCCUGACGGAGCAACGCCGCGUGAGUGAUGAAGGUCUUCGGAUCGUAAAACUCUGUUAUUAGGGAAGAACAUAUGUGUAAGUAACUGUGCACAUCUUGACGGUACCUAAUCAGAAAGCCACGGCUAACUACGUG
rnacentral:rRNA from 1 species